AGAGUUUGAUCAUGGCUCAGGACGAACGCUGGCGGCGUGCCUAAUACAUGCAAGUCGAACGAAGCUUUCUUUCACCGAAUGCUUGCAUUCACCGAAAGAAGCUUAGUGGCGAACGGGUGAGUAACACGUAGGCAACCUGCCCAAAAGAGGGGGAUAACACUUGGAAACAGGUGCUAAUACCGCAUAACCAUGAACACCGCAUGAUGUUCGUGUAAAAGACGGCUUUUGCUGUCACUUUUGGAUGGGCCUGCGGCGUAUUAACUUGUUGGUGGGGUAACGGCCUACCAAGGUGAUGAUACGUAGCCGAACUGAGAGGUUGAUCGGCCACAUUGGGACUGAGACACGGCCCAAACUCCUACGGGAGGCAGCAGUAGGGAAUCUUCCACAAUGGACGAAAGUCUGAUGGAGCAACGCCGCGUGAAUGAAGAAGGCCUUCGGGUCGUAAAAUUCUGUUGUCAGAGAAGAAUGUGCGUGAGAGUAACUGUUCACGUAUUGACGGUAUCUGACCAGAAAGCCACGGCUAACUACGUGCCAGCAGCCGCGGUAAUACGUAGGUGGCAAGCGUUGUCCGGAUUUAUUGGGCGUAAAGGGAACGCAGGCGGUCUUUUAAGUCUGAUGUGAAAGCCUUCGGCUUAACCGAAGUAGUGCAUUGGAAACUGGAAGACUUGAGUGCAGAAGAGGAGAGUGGAACUCCAUGUGUAGCGGUGAAAUGCGUAGAUAUAUGGAAGAACACCAGUGGCGAAAGCGGCUCUCUGGUCUGUAACUGACGCUGAGGUUCGAAAGCGUGGGUAGCAAACAGGAUUAGAUACCCUGGUAGUCCACGCCGUAAACGAUGAGUGCUAAGUGUUGGAGGGUUUCCGCCCUUCAGUGCUGCAGCUAACGCAUUAAGCACUCCGCCUGGGGAGUACGGUCGCAAGACUGAAACUCAAAGGAAUUGACGGGGGCCCGCACAAGCGGUGGAGCAUGUGGUUUAAUUCGAAGCAACGCGAAGAACCUUACCAGGUCUUGACAUCCUCUGACAAUUCCAGAGAUGGAACGUUCCCUUCGGGGACAGAAUGACAGGUGGUGCAUGGUUGUCGUCAGCUCGUGUCGUGAGAUGUUGGGUUAAGUCCCGCAACGAGCGCAACCCUUAUUGUCAGUUGCCAUCAUUAAGUUGGGCACUCUGGCGAGACUGCCGGUGACAAACCGGAGGAAGGUGGGGAUGACGUCAAAUCAUCAUGCCCCUUAUGACCUGGGCUACACACGUGCUACAAUGGUCGGUACAACGAGUCGCUAACUCGCGAGGGUAAGCUAAUCUCUUAAAGCCGUUCUCAGUUCGGAUUGCAGGCUGCAACUCGCCUGCAUGAAGUCGGAAUCGCUAGUAAUCGCGAAUCAGCAUGUCGCGGUGAAUACGUUCCCGGGCCUUGUACACACCGCCCGUCACACCAUGAGAGUUUGUAACACCCAAAGUCGGUGGGGUAACCUUUUGGAGCCAGCCGCCUAAGGUGGGACAGAUGAUUGGGGUGAAGUCGUAACAAGGUA
rnacentral:rRNA from 1 species